GUAAAAAGGCGUAGAGGAUGUGUAGGCCAAGAAAUUAUCUAAGAAGGUAAAUGGAAUUUUUCUGGAGCGGUAAAAUGUGAAGAUAGAAAAUAGAACACCUAAGGUUAAAACUAUUUACCACAAAAUAGGCUGAAACAUGAGAGAGUGGGGAGCAAACAGGAUUAGAGACCCUGGUAGUCCACUCUGUAAACUUUGAAGAUUAUGUUUAGCAGGCCCGAAAGGUAAAAUCUUCCGCCUGAGUAGUACGAUCGCAAGAUUAAAAUUCAAAAACUUUGGCUGUUCACUACUUCGAUUAGAGGAGCGUGUAGUUUAAUUCGAUGGUCCGCGUGUUACCUUACCCCAGCUUGAAUCUAUGACCGGUAUUGCAUGGCCGUCGUAAGUCCCUGUGUUAAACUAAAAGGGACCCAAUCCGGGCGUUUGCCUGAAGGAAGUCAGGUCUUAUGAUCCGAAUGUUGGGGGAUUUAUGCGCUACAUUUUCUUAUAUAAUGAGAGACUUGAGAGGUAAGCCUCUAAAGUAAGAGUUCGGAAGGUCGCUGUAAAACGACUGGAAGUUGGAUUUAAUAGUAAUCGGAAAGUAGAGCGUUCCGGUGAAUUGGUACAAGUGUUAGCACAAAUUGCCCGUC
rnacentral:rRNA from 1 species